AAUUUCACUUUUUAUUUUUCAUUUUAAUUAUUAACAACUCCCAAUACUCCCAAUUACGUUCAAAUUAAGCGAAUCAUGCGCGCGAAAGAAUUGGCUGUCAAAUCAGCUGUUCAUGUGCGGGGCACGUCAAACAAAUUGUGUAUAAUUUCGUUCGUGAAAACUUGCGGGCUUUGCGGGUAAAAAAUAUUUGCCAGAAAGUGUUCAGGAUCAGGAUCUGCCCUCAUACAUGAGACGCAUGAGACCAAUAUUGUAGAAGGCAUCUCAAAUGUUGGCUGCUGCGGCUGCUGCUGUUGCUGUUUGAAAAGACAUCAAAAACCUCUAACUGAAGUUGGAUCAGUCCAUCGGAUUCGCAUCAUCCUGACCUCAAGAAAUGUGCGAUCGCUGGAAAAGGUGUGUGAUUUUGGGGCUGGUUCCAAGAAGCAAAACUGCGAGUGCAUGGUUCAGUCCGAAUGCCAACCAAAAUCUUGAGAAUUUCCACCAGGGAGGCACUCUGAGGCUAGCUCCCGUCUAAUGCUUAGCGGUGGUGAAAGACUUGGAGUCGUUUCGAGAUGCGAAUAGAAUCAUGGAUCUGGAUCUGUAUUCCCGGCGAAGAUUGUGAAGAUAACAUCAAUCAAUAUUGAGUCUAGUUCAGUAAUUGACCAUAUCCCUGAAGAAACUACAAACUUCCGUUUCUUCACUACAAACUGUCCACUCUCGGAAGGAGACACAAUGCAUUUCAUUGAAGAAUUUCUAA